rnacentral:lncRNA from 1 species
UGAAGAAGCACGCCAAGCGUUGCAUCGGGUCAGAACUUCUUCAAUACUUGACAAGUUUUGCGGCGGUCGUCGUAUACAUUCGCUGAAAACUUCGCUUAUAGUUCUCACCUCCGCGAGUGUGGGUACAACAGACAAUCACAAUAUAAAGGACUAGAAGACGAUACCGAUAACCUUUUUCGACGAACUACAAUAAAAGAAAAAAAAUCAAAAAAGA